UUGGCCUCAAAUCAGGUAGGACUACCCGC
rnacentral:rRNA from 1 species